GUGCCAGCAGCCGCGGUAAUACAGAGGGUGCAAGCGUUAAUCGGAAUUACUGGGCGUAAAGCGCGCGUAGGCGGUUGCGUAAGUUGGAGGUGAAAUCCCCGGGCUUAACCUGGGCAUUGCCUUCAAAACUGCGCAGCUAGAGUAUGGGAGAGGAAGGUAGAAUUCCAGGUGUAGCGGUGAAAUGCGUAGAGAUCUGGAGGAAUACCGAUGGCGAAGGCAGCCUUCUGGCCUAAUACUGACGCUGAGGUGCGAAAGCAUGGGGAGCAAACAGGAUUAGAUACCCCCGUAGUCC
rnacentral:rRNA from 1 species